AACUCUCUCCAUCUCCCCUCUUGGGCUAUCUGGUCUUUCAGCAGUUGCUUUAGGCUUUUUUAACUUUUCCCAAAGACUUGCAGACCUUCCCAACUAUUCGCCAAAGAGUCUUGAUUGUUCUUUUUCUCAAGUUAGAAAAGAGAGAAGGUGAGUUAUGGUAGAUUAUUCUUUUCUUCUAUGUGGCUUUGUGAUCAGCUGAAAGUGGUAAGAGGAAGGUAGAUUGCGGGAUUCCUGGGGUGCGAGACCACUGGAAUAUCUGUUUGGGUCUGGUUGUUAACACUUGGGACUUGGGCUGUUGAUUUUGUUAAUGCCUGCAAUCCUGUCACUUUGGAUCUGCUUAUGUAAGGCAGUUGGGCGAGCAAGGGUGGUGGGGAGAACACUGUUCUGCCUGGGAAGCGCCUUCUCCAGAUUCAGAUUGAGAAGCAGAAUUUUAUGAGUGAAUAAAGGGAAUCAAGAAGGCAAUAUUUAACAGAUCAAACUGGGGAGAAAGAGGGCAUUUUGGAAGGUGUAAUGAAUCUGCCUUGGUGAGGUGCAGGUGAAUGCUGGUUCUUUGUGAGUUUGUGGAGCAAGGAUAAAUAGGAGCUAGGUAGCACCAGAUAGCUAUCCCAGUACCUGUACAAAAAUAGAAGAUCGCCUGAAGUUUUGGACCAUUGUAUAAGUACAUCUCAUUUGAAAGCAGUAAAAUGGACCAUCAUUAAGAGGUAAAAAAAGUGUCAAUGAAACAGAAUGUUUGCCAAAACACUACUUCUGAAUCCAUGUGAAGCACAACCAGACGGAUGCCAUAUUUUAUGAACCUUCAAAUAAUGGAGUGGAGUACAGUGCAAAUCAAGAAGAGAUCAGUAUUUGGAUUUAUAAUGUACACAUUUAUGAACAUUUAUGGAUUACAAUAUGCAUCCAGCUUUCCUGUGGUUCAGAUGAGGGAUGACUCAUAUCAGUACAGGGAAUGAUGAUUUAUGUUCAGGAGACUCAGUAAUUAAGGAAUUGACAUGUGGGACGGUGAGCUGAACUUCCUUCCUGUGCAGGGCAGCAACAAAUGAAAACAACCUGGAGGUGGAGAGGCUGUGAAAGGAAGGGGACAGUCUAGACUUCCAAACGGUUUCCCUUUCCUGACAAAGGCAGAUCAUGUUUCCUUCCUAAGGAACAUGGCUGUGAAGUCACUGAAUUGUUUUCAGUCCUGGUCUUCCUGAAAAUGCUUGAGUCAAGAUCUGACUGAAAAGAAUGACUCACAGAGACAUCAACCUAUUGAAGGUACAUGAAACUGACAAGCAGCCAAGUGGCAAACUGGGUAAUCAGGAUGGCAAAGCCUGAAACACACACCACUAUUUGGUUGAAUUUGUCGGAACAGCUGGUUCAUCCUGCAAGUACUAAUUGGAAUGAUGAUAAAUCCUUCUCUAAAAGUAACAAUGCACAGGAGAUGGCAUCCGCCAAGGGCAUUUUGACCAACCCUGUCUGGUUCAGCUAAUCUGCCCAUUUCUGAAGAAACCAGUCUUGCUCAUGCCCUGGUUACCUCCAUGUUGAACUGCUGCAAUGCUCUCUAUGUUAGAUUGUCCUUGAAGACAGUGUGGAAAUAUAUGUAGUUCCAGAUGCUGAUGCCAGCUUAAUAGUGGCAACUAGAAGAAUGGGCUAUGUUACAGUAGUUUUUAGGACAAAGUCACUGCCUGCUGCUUCAUUCAGCUUUUGUUGUCCUUCGCCUUGUCCUUUCUCGGAAGGAACGUGAGUUGGGAGAGACCAAGAGGAGGGCCUACCCCUUUGAAGCAAGGAGAAAUCAGAAUGCAGCGAACAACUGAAGCUUUGAACGCUAUGGUGGACUUCAGACUUGUAUUCCUAGGAAGACUCUUUUUCACAACUUCCUUUUUUAGAACUUGGCUCAGCAGACUUUCACUGAUGUGGUUUUGCUGAUGCAAGUGUCUUCUAUUUGUGUAUUGAUGAGGAAGCAAGCAGAGGAAAAUGCAUAACUGAAGAGAUGUAUAACCAGAGAAUGGCUUUCAAAUGAGUCUGAUGCCACUAAAGAGCCCUUGGCAAGUUACACCAAAGGGGGGCACUCCUGCUCUUUACUUCCUGCAGGAUUCGAGCCACGCUGUUUGGAAGGAGCGAUUUUGCCUUCUCUCAGAGCGAUGACGCUGCACCACUUUCGGCAUAUCCUGCUUCCCCCACUUACCUGGGUGGUUGCUGCUGCUGCUGGGGUUACCACUGCCUGCCUGCGUUUCAACCUGGCUUGUACUAUGGGAGAAUUACUCAUCGGCACGCUCCUGAAAAGGCACGGUGAAAUCUGGGCAGUGCAUUUUGUUGCUGCUGCUGCUGGAAAAGAAGACACGUCUGAUGUAAGAUUUAUUUUUCUUUCCCCCCAGAGGGUAAAAAUGUGAGUUAAAGGUUUGGGGAGCAAACGUUUAAAGAAGGACUGUGCCAGGUAGCCUGGUGUAUCCAGUCUGGGCAUCGACAGCAAUGCAGGAUGCAUGGAAAAGGCGUCAGGAGGAAAAAUCCAACCACUGCUGCUCAAAGGGAUUAUUAUGAGGAAAGGCAAGGUGAUGCAGUGCUUCACCUCAGAGGAGACUGUGAUGGAGACGGAUAAAUAAAGCAUCUGCUUGGUGUGCCUGUCAGGCAACAGCCAUGGGAGGAAAGGAGUGGAAAGGAACAAGUCAGCAAAUGACAAGAAAGAAGAAAGGCUGCGUACCGAUUGAUUGUCUGAUUCUGGGUCUGCUCAUUCCAGCAAUGAUGAUGGCAUAAUUUUUGGAACCAUGACUGGAUAGAGGGACUCUGAGUUGUAGUCUGAGCACUCCCUAAUGCGGUUACAGAGGAAACGAAAGGUGCAUGUGGCUGGAAAGACACAAACACCCUGUGGGGGAAAAGAGAAGUGUAUACUAUGAAUGUAUGUCUGUAUUUCUACAUACGUGCAAUGAGAUAGAAAGGUCUCUGAUUCAGGAAUGCAUAGGAAAUCUGUCAGGCUGCUGAAUCAGGCUUGGUUGUGUGUAUUUUCAGUUACAUACUAUAUACAUGCUUUUCUGGAAUAAGCGGCUGCCUUGUUUGAAACAGACACAUUUGCAGACAAGAUUCUGGAAAAUCUCUCUCCCCACCCCCCUUAACACCUUGAAGCACUGCCUCUUCGGUAUGGUCCAGGGAGGAACUGUGGGAGUUUUUUUAUUUUAAAUCUUUAUAAACACAGCUGUACUUAGUCUACAGGGAGGAAAAAAAAAUCUAUACUGUAAAUAGAAGUGUGGUCAGUCUAAUCAAAAUAAAUUUUCCCAGAUGACUUUUGUAGCCCAGCUGACAACUCCUCAUUUUCAGAUGCCUCGAUGUUCCACCAAGAUGAAAACAGCACUGUAUUUGCACUGUUAAUGUAUUUUGAUGUUAGCUUGUAUUUUUCUUUUAAAAAGAGAGAUCAGAGUCCCGCUUAAAAGGGAAAAAAGCACAGUGCUCAUUUCAGCACGGAAAUGUUCUAACAUGUUCAUUGGUGGCAUAAAUUUCUGCUAUUGCAUGCAGCCAGGGGCAGCUGGGUGGGGAAGAAAUAGGAUUUGCUUUCUCUCCCCUUUAAAGAAAAGCAGGAUAGCAUAGGGGCAAACAUAUUUAAGAAUGCGGACCCUGCUGCAUGGUCCUAUCUGUGUAAUGGGCCAGAUUAAUUGAAAGAAAACCCAUGAUGCAGGUAAAUACAGGAAGCUUGAGAGAUUUUAUUUAUUUGUUUUUCACCAGCUGCCUAUUUGGCAUAUGCAUACAUGCACACAUGUGUGCUCAAAGCCAGAAAGUAGGAGUGUAUCCAGGGGGAUUUCUCAUAGUCACAGCGAGAUCACCUGAAACAAUUUAUUACUAAAGAAAUACUGUCUGUUAGAUUAUAUCUGGGCCAGUUGGUGAAGAAAUGCCACUUCCUGUUUGCUUUAACGUGGAAAAGUGGAAUUAGGAAAAUACAUUGUGCUCUGCAGGGGAGCUACACCUCUUCCGGAUACAUGAUGGUUCCAGCUCAGACUCAGGAAUUUUAAGAGGAGAGAGCUGGGGGGGAGGGGGAGGAAGAGAGAGGGAGACACUCCCGUUACUCAUCGACCAGCAAAAAGUCAGCAGCUUGUAAUUAGCAGAUCAUGGUUACAUCAGCAACCAUAUCUUUCCAAGAAUAACUGUGAUGCAUGCCACAAAGUGAGGAAGAUAGUCAUAACCUAGUUAUCAAGCUUGGUUCAAACAAGGGCGAAUGGAUUAAUGACUAUGCUGUGUUCAUCAAUCAGAAAUGCAUGGAUUACAUGGCAUGGGGCUUGCUGAGUUCUGCAUAGUUGUGGGCUGAUUUAGCAAGUUGCCUGUGGAAGUGAAUGAGGGUGGGGGCAGAGUUUCAGAACAAAAUGUAUGAACUUUUAAAAAUGUGCAGACUGAUUGCUCUUAGCAAAUGCCUUUACUUUUUCAGGCUCAUUUAGCACACACACAGCCGCCUGACAUGACACAUCAUAGCUGCAAAUUAAGGCGAAAAGGGCAAGUGUGGAAGGGAUGUUUUCAUGCAAAGAAAAUGCAGAAACUGCAUUUUCUUACCGAGUUAGAAAGUCUCGGAUUCUGUUGCUGUUUUUCUGUGCUCUCUGGGAGUAGUGUGAUAUAGCUGUAGCAUAUAGUAAGCUGUUUCUGUUUCACGGUGGAGAUGGGGUCAGAUUUGAUGAAUUCUGUACAGCACCUUAAUGCCAAAGCAAAUCCUGCAAAGCUUUCUUGGUAACAUUUCAGGAGCUGAGCCUGACUGGGACAUAGUCUGUUUUAGAUCUGCAUUUGCAGUCCUGCCACAUGCAAGCCGGGAUGAGGACGUGGGAGGCGCCUAAUCUGUGAUUUGCCUUUUCCAGGCGCCUUUCAUGCAGCUCUUUCCUGGCUUUCAUCCGCAAGCCUUUGCAACGUGUGGUUUGUGUUUUUCUACUUCUGUUCUUUGCUGCUCAAAUUGCUCAGAGCCUCUUUUGGUUUCCCAGAUUCCCUGCAGAUGUCAGCCUCAGUUCAGCUCUUGUUUAUUUAGCUCCUUAAUAAUAUGCCCAAAAUAGACUGCAUUGUGCAAACAUGUAUAUUUUGGGCUGGGAAAAUGCGUGUUUGUUUGGAGGAGAGGUCUGUGCAUUACAUGAAGCCAAUAGCUCUUUUGUAUCACAUGUGAUGCAGUUUAAACAUACUUUAAUUACUUGAACGUCACAAAAGCUGAUGUUCUGCCACGCCUGCAACUAGGGUGACCAAUGUGUAUCGCAUGUUAGGAUCCAGAAAAGGCUUAUACCGUGCACCCAUUCGGGUGGAAGGAUUUUGUCGGGUCUGUGUGCAGGAGCCGAAACAGCUGGUCUUUAAUGCGGGACCCCUCUGUAGAGUGAAAUGUCAGUCGCCACGAAUGGCUGCCUGAUUAAAGCAGCCCCUCGCCGGGUCCUCCAUCCAACAGCCAUGCUUGCAGCAGAAUAAUUUAGCCCGAUUUGAUUGCGCUGUAUCAGGGUAGUAUGUCAUUGUGUCGCCAGGCAAUUGAGGUUAUUAUGGGGCAGGGCUGACAGACGGGACAGUGGGGUUACUAGACCGUGGCAUUUUUAGAAAUACAGGCCUGACCUACUUAGAGUUAUUCUUGCUGGCUGGCUGGCAGGCAGCGGCGUGGUGCAUGCAGCUUCCUGAUAGGCUGCUGCUGUUGCUAGGGGGAAUUAGCAUGAAUUUUUCCACAUGCAGUCUCUGUGAUUGAAUGAUAAAAGCUGACUGGAAUUAAAGAGAUUCAGUUCAGUAUUAUGUAGAUUUAUCUCCCUUAUUUCUCUUUCUGGAAACAUAGAAAGAAGGAGCAAAAAAGACUGCUUAUUCUUUGACCCAUUUUUUUCCUGUUCAGAGAAAGGCAAAAUCUUGUACUAUUUUGGUCUCUGAAAUGAUACUACAGAGAGUUAUUUAAGAUCACAAAAUGUUUUGUGUAGGAGAACUGCUUUCUCCUCUGCUUUGCACAGCAGCAUUUUGAGACAGGCAUUUCUCCAAUCUCUUUUGCUUUAAAGGAGAACAAAAGUGUGUUUGGGGUGGGUCUGUCUGUAUUGUUCCUCUGUGCUGAUUUUUUUUGUCGUUGUCGCUGUUGUUUUUAAGAAACAAAAAAAAUAAGUGGGGUGCUGAGUUUUGAAGGCAGCUUCGUAUGGCAGCUUUUCUUACAUGAUAAAAUCCUUAGUUAUGUUUAGUGUUACUCUAUUAAUACUGUGAUUUCUCUCUUAAUGCAGAAAGACACAUGGAAUUUCUGCAAUGUUGCAUUUAAAACUGAGCUUAGAUGGGGAUCUGAUGGCUACAAGCAUACCUUUAUUUUAGAUGCAUCCUCUGCAGAUUCCAGUCCAUUUAAUGCAUUUUCCAUUGUCUCUGGAUUUAAAGACAUCUUUAAAUGUUCACAUUGGAAGAUACUUAGUUACAGGGUAGGGAGUGUGUGUGUAAGUGUAAAUGGUGUAUAUAUGGAAGGUUAUUUUUUAUCCCCCUGUUCCCCCUUUACAGCUUAUCUAUGUCUGAUUUUGUGAUACAUUACAGACUUUUUAUAACAAAAUGCAAGAUUAUAAAAGCUUGUAGCAAAAGUUAGUAAAUGAAAUGAGGAGGCAAUCAGUCAAACAUUAAAACAGUCUUGAGACUUCCUUGACAAAUUCCAAAUCAACAUUUAUUGCUUUAUGCAGUUCAAUUAUACAGUUUGAAAAUUAAAAAGGCUUUUCUGGCUGUCUGCUUCUCCAUGUAUAUACCUGCUUUUUCUGAUUAAAGAACUACUAUUCUUUCUAAGUGACAUUGUGGUUGCAACAACAAAAGAACCCAACAUUAAAAAGAAAAGAAGGAACUAUCCUUGAAAAAUCAUUACAGAAUGUGGAUUGUAUUUUUGGCCUUGCAGAGGGCUCAGAAUUGCCAGCAAAAAGUCAGAGCUGAUUUCAGGUGGAGAAGGAAUUGCACACACACAUGCAUUCACAAAACACAAUUUUGUGCUCAUUUUUGCUGCCUCAAGUGUCAUUGGCUGUGGGACCUGAAAGGUUUUCAGAGAGCUACCCUUGGAAAUUUAAGGCUGAGAGGAGAGCAAGUUCUUGGGCUAGAAGGUGCUUGAAGGGGUGCCAAAAGUUCAAUCUGGAAAGGAGGACUCAUGUCUUGUUGGGUUCAGAGUCCUCUUCAACAUGAUUUUGAGUCAAGAGCCAUGAUAGGAGCCAUGGGGAACAUGACUUCCUCUGUGCAUCUUUAUGCUAACUUGCCAUUAAGCCAAGGUAUUCUAAAUACAGAAGUGUGCACUCUGAGCACACACAGUGUCUCAUCUCAGCUUGCACUGGAAGACACUAGAAAGCUUUUCGGCUGAGCAAUUUGCGGCAAGACAUUUCUGCAAGUCCUCCUUAAGUUACUAAUUAAAGCUUUCAAGGGGUGUUGAGAACAAUGUUAAAAUGAUUUAAAGAAUAACAAGCAUUGAACGCAGAGCACUGAAAACCUUGAAAUGAGUAAAACCAGCUAUCAGCCUUUCAAAGUCAAAAAUGUGAACAGGGGAGAAAUGUCUUUACCACCCACCAGAUAUUAAGCAAUGGCGAAGCCAAUAUAAUGCUGCUAGACAAAUCUGUGAUAGCAUUGUCCCAUAUUCCCACCAAUGUAGCCUCUUACAUUUGUGGCCGUGUGGGUAUAGAUUGUAAACAAUGGACAGAUUCAUAUGGCAGAGGUGGUGUUUCAGACAUCCUAGCCAUAAGCUGUUUAAGGCUUUAUAGAGAAAGCGCAUGCAUGAAUAACAUGCAGUAACAUGACUUGGAUCUGACUGGAAGCCAAUGCAACUGAUGUAGGACCAGUGUAAUAUUGUUACAGAAGCCAGAAGGCAAUUUGCCUGUAGCAUUUCGUACAAGCUGCAGUGUCCCAAUACUCUUGAAGGGGCAGCACCACAUAGCGCAUGUUGCAGUCAUCCUGUCUAACCUUUCCCACAAUGGGCCAUGGUCAGAAAGCCAGCAAAUAGUAUAAUGAUGUUAACAGGGAAAAUUGCUUCAAAUGAUUUAAUCAGGUAAUCCAUUAAACUAAUGCAAAUCACAUGCUCACUCUCUCCCCCCAGCCUAAACCUCAUGGAAACAAAAAUGUAGGAUCACCAGACAGGAAGAAUUCCUUCCCAGCCCCACAUAAGGUGAUGGUCCCAGCCAAAGUGUAAGUGAAACAUUGUGUGUGUGUCAUUAAUAGAUCUCAGGCUUCCCUUGUCAGCCUGAACCUUACCAAUAUUUGCAGACUAUGAGUAAGAUUUAAUGAAAUUUCACUAAGGUCACUGGACAGGCCACCAGAUUGCAGUACAUGGAGACGAGAAGACUGUGCCCUUUUCUCUACAGUUAACAUUGCUUGCAUCUGCCAUCUGUAUGAUUACAGCUAUGUCUGUGGUCCUGCAGAUUUGCCAAGCAGCCAGAGAGGCCUGGUCCCCUUUACUGGGAAUUCUCUACCUUUUCUUCCUGGAACUCUGCUAUUGACUUCUGCAGAAGGCAAUUAUGUGACUGGAUGUGGGAGGAAACAGAAGCAAACCUUGAUACUGUUGGGCCAUUGAGGUUUAUCAGACAGGGAAAUUAAUGGCAUCCUGGAUCAAUCACUGUAUUGGGAGCAAAAAUGUGUAUGUUUAUGUUCCUUAAUGACCUUUUCAUUUCCCUGAGGUAGCUAAUUACAAAGCAAACUGGAAGACCUGAAGGCUUGGAAGUCACAAUAAAAGUUACAGUGUACUCUAGUGUGUGUAAUGAUAACCAAUAAGCUUAGUUACACCAUAGCAUUGGAACAAUAACUUACUUGCACUGCUGCAAAUCGCAUCAGAUAAGAAAAGUGGGGGGAAUACUAGGGUCUUUUUCUUCCCUUUUUUAUAAGUCAACCCCCCCACAACCCCGCCCCCACACACACUUAUAGAAAUGUAGGUUUUCUGGAUUUUAUUUGGCCCUUGCUGAUUCAGCUUCAGCAUACAGCUCUAGUGUGUUUUUAUGAUGGAUGCUGUAAGAACUGUGUGUGUGUGUGUGUGUGUGUGUGUGUGUGUGUGUGUGUAUGUACUGUCUUUCUGUUUUUAUUUGAAUGGUUUCAUAUAAGAGUAAAUUUAUUUGCAAACCUGAUUUUUUUCAUUGAAAUUGUAGCUGCUGCUCUGUAGACUGGAAAACAGAUGUAAGAAAUUGUGAUAUUGAUCAUUUUGCAAUUUCUCUCAAUGAAAAGGCAUGUGCUGAAACAGUGUAAACUGAAAGAUGAAGGUUCCCCCCGUGUGUAUGAGUGUGUGUGUGUUUACUGCAUGCUGAAGACUUUACAUAGUGGCAAAUUAAAAAAAAACUGUGGCUACAAAAACUGUUCUGCAGAGAUAAUGAAGAGCUUUGGGAAGCCACCUUUGCCUCUGAGAUUUUACAUUUAAACAUGAUUUAAUUUAUUUAUUUGCCUAAUAUCUAUUGACAACCUUUUUUAUUCUUAGCAGGAAAGUAAGAGGAUGGGGCCAAUACUAAACAAAAUUGAUAAUGACAUUGUAGGUGAUUAUUAUUUUCUCAUUGAUCAGUAAAACAGUAAGUUCUUAUGAGAUGAAGCUCAGAAUUUCAUAGGUGUGGUUUUAAAAAAGCAAGUACUUAUUGCUCAAAUCCUGAACAUGUGCAAAAUGAAGUAUAACAUUUCACAUCCCAUCACAAAAGCAAUUGCAGAGUACAAAUCAGUGACUUCAGCAAGUGAAACAAAUGGUACUUACUUUUCUGUAGUGUAUCUUGAGGGAAAGAGGAUACAAAACCUGUUGGAUUUGAAAUAUGUUUAAAAUGUUUUCCCCAUUUCUUAAAAUUUCUGAAAAAUGUAAGUUGAAUGGCAGCUGCUGUGUCAGCUACAUACCACGUGAAUUGGCCUUGCUGUUAAUUCCUAGGCAUGUUGACUUCUUGACUUCAGGGGCUUUUUUCCAAUGCUAGAUGUGAAAUGAUCCUGUAACUUGUGCUAUGCAGAUGUCUUUUUAAACAUUUUGCUCUUCUGGUGUGAAGUUGUUUCACAAAGAUUAUGGCAUGUGGAUUUUACAGUAACUAAAA